UGGGCGUAAGCGCACGCAGGCGGUCAAUUAAGUCAGAUGUGAAAGCCCCGAGCUUAACUUGGGAAUUGCAUCUGAAACUGGUUGGCUAGAGUCUUGUAGAGGGGGGUAGAAUUCCAUGUGUAGCGGUGAAAUGCGUAGAGAUGUGGAGGAAUACCGGUGGCGAAGGCGGCCCCCUGGACAAAGACUGACGCUCAGGUGCGAAAGCGUGGGGAGCAAACAGGAUUAGAUACCC
rnacentral:rRNA from 1 species